GUUCCGGUUUGAGGGUCUUGCAGCCGCAGACCCGUGGAGGAGCUGAUGUUCCGGUUGGACGGUCUUGCAGCCGCGGACGCGGGCAGGAGCUCAUGUUCCAGUUUGGGCGUCUUGUAGCCUUGGACCCAGGGAGGAGCUGAUGUUCCGGUUGGAGGGUCUUACAGCCGCGACCCCGGGGAGGAGCUGAUGUUCCGGUUUGAGGGUCUUGCAGCCGC